rnacentral:rRNA from 1 species
UACGUAGGGUCCGAGCGUUAAUCGGAAUUACUGGGCGUAAAGCGUGCGCAGGCGGUUUUGUAAGCCAGAUGUGAAAUCCCCGGGCUUAACUUGGGAACUGCAUUUGGGACUGCAAGGCUGGAGUACGGCAGAGGGAGGUGGAAUUCCACGUGUAGCAGUGAAAUGCGUAGAGAUGUGGAGGAACACCGAUGGCGAAGGCAGCCUCCUGGGCUAGUACUGACGCUUAUGCACGAAAGCGUGGGGAGCGAACCGG